rnacentral:rRNA from 1 species
CCUGGUAGUCCACGCCGUAAACGAUGUCGAUUUGGAGGUUGUGCCCUUGAGGCGUGGCUUCCGGAGCUAACGCGUUAAAUCGACCGCCUGGGGAGUACGGCCGCAAGGUUAAAACUCAAAUGAAUUGACGGGGGCCCGCACAAGCGGUGGAGCAUGUGGUUUAAUUCGAUGCAACGCGAAGAACCUUACCUGGUCUUGACAUCCACAGAACUUUCCAGAGAUGGAUUGGUGCCUUCGGGAACUGUGAGACAGGUGCUGCAUGGCUGUCGUCAGCUCGUGUUGUGAAAUGUUGGGUUAAGUCCCGCAACGAGCGCAACCCUUAUCCUUUGUUGCCAGCGGUCCGGCCGGGAACUCAAAGGAGACUGCCAGUGAUAAACUGGAGGAAGGUGGGGAUGACGUCAAGUCAUCAUGGCCCUUACGACCAGGGCUACACACGUGCUACAAUGGCAUAUACAAAGAGAAGCGACCUCGCGAGAGCAAGCGGACCUCAUAAAGUAUGUCGUAGUCCGGAUUGGAGUCUGCAACUCGACUCCAUGAAGUCGGAAUCGCUAGUAAUCGUAGAUCAGAAUGCUACGGUGAAUACGUUCCCGGGCCUUGUACACACCGCCCGUCACACCAUGGGAGUGGGUUGCAAAAGAAGUAGGUAGCUUAACCUUCGGGAGGG